rnacentral:lncRNA from 1 species
CCAGAUCCAUCAUCACGAAGCUGCGGCAGGAGGACCUUGCCCUGACCAACACCAGACUACUGCUUUGUCUGCAGGAACUGGGAGCAGAAGCAUGCAGCCCUCUGCAACCUCUAUGGCAGCAUUUCCAGGCCUUAAUCUUCUGCCAGGUGACCCAUCGUCAGGGCUUCCCUCAGGCUGCUGGAAUCAGUGCGUGCAGCAGUAACGAUCACAACCUGUGAAGCUCACACAGCCUAAAGUGUAGAAGCCUUGCAGAGAAAUCUUGUCUAAUGAGAGGGCAAUCAGCAAACGUGGGAAAUUUAACAAGAGCAACUGCCUGAUUCUGCACAUGGGACUGGACAACCCUGGUGUUAUGCUGUAGGAAGAGACUUAGCACUAGUAACUAAAGUAAAUGAGGUUGUAUAGAAACGUAGCUUUCUCCUCGUUGCAAAAGCUCGCUGUUAACAGCGAAGAAGAGGAUUCAACUGGAUAAGUUUCAGGAGACAUCAAGAAUGACGGGAUAAGAUCUGUAUAGCAACACGUGGAGAAGUACUGCCUGUUCUGGAAAGAUGCUGCCCAGGAAGCACCACCUGGAACUGGGAAUGAACGGGUGAAUGAAGAGGGAGAGACACAGGCCCAGAAAAUUAGAUUGGUUAAAAAGGACAAUUUGAGAUGGAACUAUGCAAGGAUGGGGUUGUGGCAACUCAUGAAAACUAUGGGAUUGAAAGUAACGGAAUUCUUCUUAAGAGAUGUUCGCCUUGGGCUGUAAAUCACAAGAACUGCAAACAAAUGAGGAUAAGGGACAGUCAGAGUGACCUACUGAAAGCAGAAGUCAAAGCUUGAACCAGAGAAUGUUGGAGGGGGCAGCAGCAUGAUUCCUUCAGCACAAGGUGACAGGAGUGCAAGUGCUGCCACGGUUUCUGGAGACCCAGGUGGGACCCUAUAGGUGAUGGCCAUCAGACCCUCCCGCCUCAAAGCAUCUGGCUGCCAGCAGUGGAUGAUGAGCUUGGUGCUCCCUUCCUGGAGAGUCCAGACUUCAUGCCUGUGCCUGAGGGACAGCCUGGAGGCCCUGCUGGUGAAUCAGCAGAUCGGAAUCCUGUCCAUGAGCCUGAGGGGGAGCUGGGAGGUAAGUCACACGGCUUCAUUUCCUUGAUAUUUGUUCAUAUUUGGCUGGGAUAGUUCAGCAAGGGUUCUGCUUUUCCGUGGCCCGUGGGUUCUUCUCCACAGGAAGCAUGGAUGGUGGUUGUUUCCUGGGUGCUACUGUGUCCUCAGCGUUGUGUUGGCUUUGUCUCUGUAUCUCAGAGGUUCCCAGCAAGACAAUUUAAAGUUUUCUGUGAGGUCUCUGAGAAUUGUUUCCCAUGGCCUGGAGAAAGUAUUUGGAAAGCUGUGGAAUACCAGCCAGAAGGUCACCUGGCCUCUCUGCAGCUUUGGAACUUCUGCCUCGUGUCAUUAAUUGAGCCCCUUCCAUCACUGCAGGUCAGUAAGGAGGAGAGAGAUGGGCACAUGCAAUGGGAACGUUUCUCCUCUGUCCUUGAUUACAGCCAUGUCUCCAGGCAGUUGCUUACAAAGCCCAGGUUUAAGCCAGUCACAGAGACUCGGGCCAAUCCCUCAGCUAAGUCCCUGAAAGGCUUUAGUUUUCAUUCAGGUUUUAAUUUUCUUUCCAAGUGACGUGUGACUUCCUGCUUCCUAUGCGGAAGAUAAGGGACGGUAUGGGUCAGGCUGAGUGCAG